UACAGGGGGGGCAAGCGUUGUUCGGAAUUACUGGGCGUAAAGGGCUCGUAGGCGGCCAACUAAGUCCGACGUGAAAUCCCAAAGCUUAACUUUGGAACUGCGUCGGAUACUGGAUGGCUUGAAUUCGGGAGAGGGAUGCAGAAUUCCAGGUGUAGCGGUGAAAUGCGUAGAUAUCUGGAGGAACACCGGUGGCGAAGGCGGCAUCCUGGACCGACACUGACGCUGAUGCGCGAAAGCUAGGGGAGCAAACGGG
rnacentral:rRNA from 1 species